UACGUAGGGUGCAAGCAUUAAUCGGAAUUAUUGGGCGUAAAGGGCGCGUAGGCGGAGAUAUAAGUCAGACGUGAAAUCCCGGGGCUCAACCCCGGAACUGCAUUUGAAACUGUAUUUCUAGAGGAUAGGCGGAGAAAACGGAAUUCCACAAGUAGCGGUGAAAUGCGUAGAUAUGUGGAAGAACACCUGUGGCGAAAGCGGUUUUCUAGCUUAGACCUGACGCUGAGGCGCGAAAGCAAGGGGAUCAAACAGG
rnacentral:rRNA from 1 species